GGGGAUGCAAGGCAUAGACAGUUGGCCUUUUGUUAUUGAUGCAUACCGAGAAUGAGCGCAAUCUCGCAAAACUUCGCUCAAAUGUCUAAUUGCAAAAUUAGCUACUAAGGCAGUUCGUUCGCCUUACUUCGGUAAUGCGUUCGGAUUUGCUCCAGCAUACGCUCUAGCGUAAGUUGGUGUCUUCCCUAUAGACUUCCGAUAUAUAGGGUAAGGCAUAAUAUUAUCGGGAUAGGAAAAAGAAUACCUCGACUUUCUUCCAAAACAUAGAGGAUCGAUUAAAAAAUAUUUCGCUCGCUUAAUAAUUUUUUAAUUUAAACAAACAAGCGCGCUAAGUAUGUAGACUUCCUUACAAAAACCUUCUGCACGGGGGCUCAAUUCCCCCCAUCUCCACAU
rnacentral:tmRNA from 1 species